rnacentral:rRNA from 1 species
AGUGAACGCUGGCGGUAGGCCUAACACAUGCAAGUCGAACGGCAGCACAGUAAGAGCUUGCUCUUACGGGUGGCGAGUGGCGGACGGGUGAGGAAUACAUCGGAAUCUACUUUUUCGUGGGGGAUAACGUAGGGAAACUUACGCUAAUACCGCAUACGACCUACGGGUGAAAGCAGGGGAUCUUCGGACCUUGCGCGAUUGAAUGAGCCGAUGUCGGAUUAGCUAGUUGGCGGGGUAGAGGCCCACCAAGGCGACGAUCCGUAGCUGGCCUGAGAGGAUGAUCAGCCACACUGGAACUGAGACACGGUCCAGACUCCUACGGGAGGCAGCAGUGGGGAAUAUUGGACAAUGGGCGCAAGCCUGAUCCAGCCAUACCGCGUGGGUGAAGAAGGCCUUCGGGUUGUAAAGCCCCUUUGUUGGGAAAGAAAAGCAGCAGGUUAAUACCCCGCUGUUCUGACGGUACCCAAAGAAUAAGCACCGGCUAACUUCGUG